GAUGAACGCUAGCUACAGGCUUAACACAUGCAAGUCGAGGGGCAGCAUGGUCUUAGCUUGCUAAGGCCGAUGGCGACCGGCGCACGGGUGAGUAACACGUAUCCAACCUGCCGUCUACUCUUGGACAGCCUUCUGAAAGGAAGAUUAAUACAAGAUGGCAUCAUGAGUCCGCAUGUUCACAUGAUUAAAGGUAUUCCGGUAGACGAUGGGGAUGCGUUCCAUUAGAUAGUAGGCGGGGUAACGGCCCACCUAGUCUUCGAUGGAUAGGGGUUCUGAGAGGAAGGUCCCCCACAUUGGAACUGAGACACGGUCCAAACUCCUACGGGAGGCAGCAGUGAGGAAUAUUGGUCAAUGGGCGAGAGCCUGAACCAGCCAAGUAGCGUGAAGGAUGACUGCCCUAUGGGUUGUAAAACUUCUUUUUAAUAAAAGGAAUAAAAGUCGGGUAUGGAUACCCGUUUGCAUGUACUUUAUGAAUAAGGAUCGGCUAACUCCGUGCC
rnacentral:rRNA from 1 species